rnacentral:lncRNA from 1 species
GUCUCGGGGGCGAGCAUCCGGCACCGGAGGUUGCCUUCCUGCGCGACCUGGUUUUGCGGCGGCAGCUCUGGGGGCACACGGAUGUCUGCCCCAUGCACGGUCCUGGAUGAACCACAAUGCCCCCGGCUCAGGGCUUGGCCCCCGAUGUUUGUGACCAGCACGUGGGAGCCCCGGCCGCGCACAAAGGUGCCAGCUUCUAUGCUGAGUUGCGGUGAUUAACGGUACUUAUUUGAAAAGACCCUAAAGAAAGGAACAGGAGCGGAGGGUUUCGUGGAAAUCAGGCCCAGGACAGGACGUGUAACUGAAGUCAGACACACCGACUGCUCCAAAUGGCACCAAAAGUCGGGAUGCUGGAGUGUCCUGUGGUCCCAGGCGAGGCGGUCGGACCCACGAGUCCACCCGUCUGUUUUCCUCGCAAUGGACGUCAGCCUGAGGACGUGGUGGGAACUUCCGUCCAGGAGCCACUGAGGAGCCUUAUGGGGAUGCUUUGGUCCCGGGGGAUGCCUGCCAGCAGGAAGAGCUGGUUGGUGUCCACAACGGUCCCUGCCUGA